AUCCUCAACCCUGAAAGCAGCCUGGAACGUUAGGUAAGUCGCCGAAUUUGUAGGCCAUGCCGGAUCAGUACUUCGGAAAACUCAAAAACGGGAAAAAGAAGAAUUAGGUACCAAAGCUGCGAAUUGAAGCUCAAUGAAGCUCGAAAUUGAAGAAGGAGAGAAUAUAUUACCUUGAAGAAGCAAAGGCUUCGCCAGAGAGGGAUGAAUUGCGCCGGAAUUGGAAUUGGGGAUUUUAGGGUUUAGAUUCCGAUAUGCCAAAUGGGUGGAUGCAUAUUGAAAUGGAAGGUAGGAGGAGGAAGAGGGUAGAGAGGGGAUUCGGUUGUGAUCUUCGUUCGACCGGCGAUUGCUCAAAGGAUGGCAGCUGGGCAGAGCUCAGUCUCAGUCUCUCAGAGACGCAGACCUUCUCUCUUCUCUCUCGACAAAAUGAGGGAUAGAGAUACCUAGUUUUUUACUUCUAUACUCAAGGCAACGACCAAGAUAUGAAAUCCACGGCCGAGAUUAAAGGAUGGAAACAAAAUCAGAAAGGGUGAUUUUAGAAGUAUGCCACGGCUUCCUAACGCAAUCGCAAAAUUUUCUUUUUUUUUGCCACGGCAGGAAAUUGCCAUAGCAAAAUGGUUUUAAUUCAGCGAUGGAAGUAAUGCCGUCGUGAAAUUUAGACUAAUGGCGACGGCAAAUCUGCGCCGUGGCAAUCUGUGGUGGCUAAUGUAAUUAUUUUUUGUAGUGGCAUGCGGCCGCUUUGACCCGUCUAGGGCCUCCUAAGGUAGACAAAGGGCUGCCAUGACCCUCCUAGGGCCGCAAAGGGGACACCUCUACCCGCCAAGGGUCCACCUUAACCUGCCUUGGGUCGCUGAACGGCCGCCUUGACCAACCUAGGGCCGCCUUCACCCGCUUAAGGCCGCUAAGGGGCCGUCUUGACCCGCCUAAGGCCACCUUGACCCGUCUUGGGCCACCAAAGGGUCGAGCCGCCUGAACCCGCUUAGGGCCCCUUGACCCGCCAAGGGACUGCCUUGACCCUCCUAGGCCCGCCUAGGGCUGCCUUAACCCUCCAAGGAGUCGUCUUUACCCACCAAAGAGCUUCCUCUACAUACUUAGGGCUGCUUUGAUCUCCUUAAGGCCUGCCAAGUCCCGUCUAGGGCCACCAAGGGGCCGCCUUGACCCGUCUAGGGCAGCCUUAACCCGUCUUGACCCUCUUAGGCCUGCAAAGGGGCAACCUUGACCCGCGUAGGGCCUCCAUGACCCGUCUUGGGCUGCCUUGACCCGCCUUAACCCUCCUAGGCCAGCCAAGGAGCCGCCAUGACCCACCUAGGGCCACCAAUACGCCGCCUUGACUCGCCAAAGGGCCGCCUAACCUGCCUAGGGCCACUAGGCGGCCGCCUUCACCCGGCUAGGGCCACCUUCAUCCAUCAAGGGGCUGCCUUGACCCUUCUAGGGCCGCCAAGGGGAUGCCUUGACCCGCUUAGGGCCGCCUUGACCCAUAUAGUGACUCCAAGGGGCCGCCUUGACCCUCCUAAGGCCGCCAUGACCUGUGUAGGGCCACCAAGAGGCCGCCUUAACCAGCCUAGGGCCGCUAAGGGGCCGCCUUCACCCGUCUAAUGCCGGCGACGGGGCCGCCUUCAUCCGUCGAAGGGACCGUCUUCACCCACCUAGGACCACCAAAAGGUCGCCUUGACCUGCCUAGGUCCGCUAGCGGCCACCUUGACCUGCCUUGGGCUGCCUUGACCCUCAUAAGGUCGCCAAGAGGACUUCUUAUCCUGACUAAGGCCACAAAGGGGCCGCUUUCACCCGUUUAAGAUCGCUAAGGGGCCUGCUUGACCCUCCUACGCCCUCUUAGGGCAACCAAUAGGCCGCCUUGGCCCGAAUAUGGCCGCCAAGGGGCUGCCUUGAUCUGUGUAAGGAAGGUAAGGGGCCGUCUUAUCCCGUUAAGGGGUGGCCUUUACACUUCUAUGGCCGCUUUGACCUCCGUAAGGCCUGCCAAGACCCAACUAGGGCCGCCUUGACCUGCCAAGGGGCUGCAAAGUCUAGUCUAGGGCCGCCUUGACCAGCCUAGGGCCACCAAGGGGUCGUAUUGACCCGUCUAGGGCCACUAACUGGCCGCCUUGACCUGCCUCGGAUCGUCUAAGGCCGCAUUAACCUGUCUUGGGAUACUAAGGGGCCACCUUGACACGCUUGGGGCCACCAAGGGGCUGCUUUAACUUGUUUAGGACCACCAACUGGCUGCCUUGACCUGGCUAGGGCUACCAAAGUAUAAGGUCAUGAAGGGGCUGCCUUAACCCUCCUAGGCCCGCCUUGGACCGCCUUAACCAUCCUAGGUGCUCCGUAGCCUGCAUCGGGCAACCAAGGGGCUGCCGUGACCCGUCUAGGGCUGCCUAGGGAUGCUAAACGGCCGCCUUCACCCGUUUAAGGCUGUCUGAGGCUGCCUUCACCCGCCAAGGGGUUGCCUUGCCCUCUUAAGACCGCCUUCACCUGCCAAGGACCACCUUGACCCGCUAAGGGGCCGCCUUGACCCGUCUAGAGCCACCAAAUGGCCGCCUUAACCCGCCUAGGGACCUCUUGACCCACCAAAAGGCUGCCUUGACCCUCAUAGGUCCGCCUUAACUCUCCAAGGAGCCGUCUUGACCCGCCACAUGGCUUCCUUUACACAUCGAGUGCCCCCUUGAGACGCUUUGCCUGUCGGGACACAACUAUGGCCGCCUUGACCUGCCAAGGGGCUGCCAAGUCCCGUCUAGGGCCAUUAAGGUGCCGCCUUGACCCGCCUAGGGCUGCCAGGCCUUGACCCAUCUAGGGCCGACAAGGGGCCGUCAUGACCCGUCUAGGACCAACAAGGGGCCGCCGUGACCCUCCUAGGGUCAUCAAAGGGCAGCCAUGACACGCCAAAGGGUUGUCAUGACCCUCCUAGGCCUGUUUAAGGCCACCAAGGGGCCGCCUUGUCCCACCUUGACCCUCCUAGGCCUGUUUAGGGCAGCCAAGGGGCCGCCAUGACCCAUUUAGGGCCUCCAAGAGGCUGUCUAAGGCCGCCUUGACCCGUAUAGGGCCGCCAAGGGGCCGGCUAACUUGCCUUGGGCCGCUAUACGGCUGUCUUGACCAGCUUAGGGUCACCAAAAGGCCGCCUUCACCCGUUUAAGGCCGCUAAGGGGUUGCUUUUACUCGCCAAAGCCUGCCUUUACCCGCUAAGGGGCCACCUUGACCCGCUUUGGGCCGUAAAGGCCGCCUUGACCCUCCAAGGGCCUGCCAAGACCCGUCAAGGGACGCCUUAACCAGCCAAGGGGCCGCCUUGACCUGCAUUUGGCCGUAAAGGCCGCCUUGACUCACCAAGGGCCUACCAAGACCCGUCCAGGGCCGCCUAGACCCACCGAGGGCCGCCUUGACCUACCUUGACUCGCCUAGACCCAUCUAGGGGCCACUAAAGGGCUGCUUUUACACGCCUUGGGCCACAUUGACCUCCCUAAGGACCGUCGAGACCCACUUAGGGCCGCCUUGACUUGCCAAGGGGCUGGCAAGACCCGUAUAGGGACACCAAGGGGCCGCCUGGACACGUCUAGCGGCCCCGUCUAGCAUAGCCAAGGGGCCGCCUUGACCUGCCUAGGCCGCGAAGGGGCCGCCAUCACCCGUCUAGGGCCACCAAGGGGCCUCCUUGACCCGCCUUGACCCGCCCAAGGGCUGCCUUGACCCUUCUAGGACCGCCUAGGGGCCGCCUUGACCCGCCUAGGGCUGCCUUCACCAGCCAAGGUGUCGUCUUGACUCACCAAGGGGCCAUCUUGACUACCAAAGGGGACGCAUUGACCCGUCUUAGGCCAGCUUAACCCGCCUAGGACCGCAAAUGCCGCCUUGACCCGCCUGGACCAACCUAAGGCCGCCUUCACCCGCCUAGGGCUGCCAAGAAGUCGCCUUCACACAUCUAGGGGCUCCAAGGGGCCACCCUGACCCGCUUAGGGAUGUCAAGGCCGCCAUGACGUCAAUGGCCGCCAUGACCAGCCUAUGGCUGCAAAGGGCCGUCUUAACCCUCCAAGGGGCUGCCUUAACCCGCCUAAGGCCGCCAAGGGGCCGCCUUGACCCGUCUUGGGCCACCAAAGGGUCGGGUCACCCUAACCCGCUUAGGGCCCCCUUGACCCGCCAAGAGACUGUUUUGACCCUCCUAGGCCCGCCUAGGGUUGCCUUAACCCUCCAAGGGGUCGUGUUGACCCACCAAAGAGCUGCCUUUACAUGCUUAAGGCCGCUUUGAUCUCCUUAAAGCCCGUCAAGUCCUGUCUAGGGCCACCAAGGGGGCCGCCUUGACCCGCCUAGGGCCGCCUUGACCCGUCUUGGGCUGUCUUGACCCUCCUAGGCCAGCCAAGGGGACCCCAUGACCCGCCUAGGGCCGCUAAUACGCCGCCUUGACCCGCCUUGGGCCGCCAAAGGGUUGCCUAACCUGCCUCGGGCCACUAGAAGGCCGCCUUGACCCGGCUAGGGCUGCUGACGAGCCACCUUCACCAGCGAAGGGGCUGCCUUAACCCUUCUAGGUCCGCCAAGGGGACAUCUUGACUCGCUUAGGGCUGCCUUGACCCAUAUAGUGACACCAAGGGGACGCCUUGACCUGUGUAGGGCCACCAAGAGGUCGCCUUAACCAUUCUAGGGCCGCUAAGGGGCCGCCUUCACCGGUCUAAGACCGCAACAGGGCCGCCUUCACAACCACCAAAAGGUCGCCUUGACCUGCCUAGGUCCGCUAGCAGCCACCUUGACCUGCCUUGGCCCGCUUUAACCCGCCUUGACCCUCAUAAAGGGUUAUCUGGACAUUAGAUCCAUUUUUCUUUCAAUUUCACCACUUCAACAAGGAAGAAAGAUGAAGAGAAGGGGCCAGCAACAAGGAAUAGGCUAUUCACCACUUCAAUUUCAUAUUCUAAUUUCUAUUUUUCUUUCUUUCAUCUCGUUCAAUUUUUUCUUUUUUGUGUUCAUAUGAAUGUAUUGGUUGCUUUAGAUUUUGGUUUUUAUUUGGGUUUAUGAGAUAACUUUUGCGGGUUAAAUUUGUCUUAUCAUUGAGUUUCUACAAAAUCUAGUGUUCUAGAUGUGUGUGGUUUUGAAAGUGCAGAGAUGGGUGUAGGACAUAAACAUAUAUAUGGUAUAGAAGUGUAUUUGUUGGAGAUGGGAGGGUGUGGUUGAGUUGAUGAUUAGUUGAGUAAACCUAUGAAGGGAUUUGAGUUUUGGGGGUUAGAGUUUAACAUAAGACGGUAGGUAAGACAUUUUAUCCAAAUUUUAGGUCAAAUUCUGAUAAAUGGGUCCUCUUGUCCUAGCCAACUCAGCUUGUGAUGUCAUGUUUACAGUCAAAUUCGAAAUUCAGAGACUACUGAUGUAAAUUGAAAGAUAAGGAUCAUUUUAGAGCUAAAGUUUGAGGAGGUAAACUGAAUUUAAUCAUAAAAAGAUUGACUCGUUUCAUUAUAGUGAUAAAUUAUGUUGAAUUGAUUUGAAGUUAAUUUACCGUUAUAUAAAAGAGUGCGGCUAUUAGGACCUCCAAAUUUGCUCACUUGACCUCCCUUUGUUACGAGUUAUUGAAUGACAAUUACCUCUUCUUACAUAAUGACUAUUAAAGAUAAUAAUCAUACAAAAAGAAGUAUAUUUAUUUUCUCUAGACUUUCCAAUCCGAUAAUUAAUUGAUGGUGUUAUUUAUUAUUUUUCUUAUAUAUUUUUAAUUUUUAAUUUACUAUUUUCUAAAUUUUACUACAUAUUAUAUAUUUAAUUAAAGCUAAAACAAUGAUCAAUAUCGACCAUGUGACAUAAAAUUUUCCAUUAUCAUACAUGUUGAAACUUGAAAGCAUGCAUGUAAUAUCCCACAUCGGCCAAACGGAGAGGGGUUAUGUGCUGUAUAUGUACAUGCCCACCUCCAAUCUAACACGAGGCUUUUUGGUGGCUCAACGGCUUCGGAGGGGAUGGGUACUCCGAGGUUAAGCAUGUUGAUGCUAGAGCAAUCCCAUGAUAGGUGACCUACUGGGAAGCUGUUCCUGAGCUGUCGGAAACAAAACCGUGGGGGCCAGUGGGCCCAAAGCGGACAAUAUCGUGUUACGGCGGAAUGGGUCCUGGGAUGUUACAAAUGGGGUAAAAUUCUUAUUAUAACCCUUAAAUUUUUAUCUUAUUUACUAGCUUGGUAUUAAUAAGAAUUUGGAUCGUAAUAUCUCACAUCGGCCAAAACGGAGAGGGGUUAUGUGUUGUAUAUGUACAUGCCCACCUCCAAUCUAACACGAGACUUUUUGGUGGCUCAGCGGCUUCGGAGGGGAUGGGUACUCCGAGGUUAAGCAUGUUGAUGCUAGAGCAAUCCCAGGAUGGGUGACCUACUGGGAAGCUGCUCCUGAGCUGCCGGAAACAAAACCGUGAGGGCCGGUGGGCCCAAAGCGGACAAUAUCGUGUUACGGCGGAAUGGGUCCUGGGAUGUGACAAAUGGUAUCAGAGCCACUCUGCCGUGUGGUGCGAGUGUGCCGACGAGGGCAUCGGACUCCCAAGGGGGGUGGAUUGUAAUAUCCCACAUCGGCCAAAACAGAGAGGGGUUAUGUGCUGUAUAUGUACAUGCUCACCUCCAAUCUAACACGAGGCCUUUUGGUGGCUCAACGGCUUCGGAGGGGAUGGGUACUCCGAGGUUAAGCAUGUUGAUGCUAGAGCAAUCCCAGGAUUGGUGACCUAUUGAGAAGCUGCUCCUAAGCUGCCGGAAACAAAACCGUGAGGGCCGGUGGGCCCAAAGCGGACAAUAUCGUGUUACGGCGGAAUGGGUCCUGGGAUGUGACAAUGCAAGGUGAAGAAGGAAUAUAUAUGCAAAAACAAAUCGAUAAUGAAAAAUUAAAUAACUAUUGAAAUAAUUUCAUGAUGUACAUAAAAUAGAGGGAAAAAAAGAACAUACAUAGUAUACAAUUGUUAUCUUUGAUCGUUGUUUAACACAAGUAAAAUAGAAAAAGAAAAGCAAAUUUAUGUUAUAAUAUUUUCUUGUUGGUAAAUAUAAGUUUUUUUCUCAGAUAAACAACUAAUAUGCUACAACGAGUCUACUGUGAGUCGAACUCACGACCUCUCACUUAUAAGGAGAGACAGUACUGGGUUGAUAAAUAUAAGUUUUUAAAACUCAAUACUUUGUGCUAUUUGAUUUUUAAGAGAAAAAUCGACGUCAUUGAAUUUUUUUUUUUUCUUACAAAUUGAUCAAAUAAUGGAGGUUGGGUGACAUUCUAUGGGAAAUAAAAAAAUAUCAAGGAAUUGAGGUCAGAUUGGUCAUGGUAUAAAAGAUAUUUUAG
rnacentral:lncRNA from 1 species